ACAACUGUCCUAAUCGAGACAUUUAAUUCAAAUUUCAAACCAAGGUAACUAAAUGUUUGCCAAACACAAAGUAAAUAUCUGAACUCAUCUAAGCACCUGACUAGGAUCUGGAUUGUUUACUAUUCUACUACUAACAUUAAAGGCAUCCAUCAGAGUCCUACUGAAAAUGACAGCGUGUUGAACAUGUUUUAUUUCUUUUCGGGGAAGAAAAAAGAGAACAAACCGGAUUUACCUAAAAUUGACAGCGUGG
rnacentral:lncRNA from 1 species